AAGGAGGGUGCCGAAGAAGGGGUUGAAGAAGGUGCUGAAGAAGGAGGACUAACGGUUGUCUGGCUCACUCUGCACUGAAGUAACCAAAGGGCUGGCUUAUUCAGCAGCAAUGCUGGGAGCAUCCUUGGGACUAGAAGAUUGAAAACUGUUACCUCUGUGGUCUCUGAGGCUGGGUUCAGACUAGAGCAAUUGUGCAGUGAAUUUGGCCCAUCUUGGGGACUUUGGCUCUCAAAUGGCAGGGACUGUUCAGACUAAACUAGAGGUUAUUUUACAAGGACCAUCAAAAUUCUCAUUUGCAUGUGUGAAAUUCCUGUGGAGAGGCUGGCUUUUUCAAUCAAGCUGGUUGGGCCAGAUUAUAAGUGGAGUCUGCUAGAGUGCAUGUGAACAGCAUCAGACAGCUCUCAGCCCUUCCCCGUUGGUCUUUCCCUUCUCUGGUGGAAAUCACCAACAGUUUAGUGACACCUAGCACCUUCUAUUCCCCAAGUGGAGAAGUGGUCUUCUAGCUAACAGGAAGACAUCAGGCUUUCUUAAAACAAAUUUUUAUCAGCAGCUACCACCACCACAAUGAUGUUCAUUGAGCACUUAUAUUGUGCUAAGUGUAUUACAUCCGUCAUCUCUUUAG
rnacentral:lncRNA from 10 species